rnacentral:rRNA from 1 species
CCUACGGGUGGCUGCAGUGGGAAAUAUUGGACAAUGGGGGCAACCCUGAUCCAGCCAUGCCGCGUGUGUGAAGAAGGCCCUCGGGUUGUAAAGCACUUUCAGUGAGGAAGAACGCCUGGUGGUUAAUACCCAUCAGGAAAGACAUCACUCACAGAAGAAGCACCGGCUAACUCCGUGCCAGCAGCCGCGGUAAUACGGAGGGUGCGAGCGUUAAUCGGAAUUACUGGGCGUAAAGCGCGCGUAGGUGGCUUGAUAAGCCGGUUGUGAAAGCCCCGGGCUCAACCUGGGAACGGCAUCCGGAACUGUCAAGCUAGAGUGCAGGAGAGGAAGGUAGAAUUCCCGGUGUAGCGGUGAAAUGCGUAGAGAUCGGGAGGAAUACCAGUGGCGAAGGCGGCCUUCUGGACUGACACUGACACUGAGGUGCGAAAGCGUGGGUAGCAAACAGGAUUAGAUACCCGUGUAGUC